rnacentral:rRNA from 1 species
AACGAACGCUGGCGGCGCGCUUAACACAUGCAAGUCGAACGAGAAGCUGUAGCAAUACAGUUGUACAGUGGCGAACGGGUGAGUAAUACAUGGGUGACCUACCCUUAAGUGGGGGAUAACCAGCCGAAAGGUUGGCUAAUACCGCAUACGCUUCCGAUCCUGCGGGGUCGGAAAGAAAGCUGCCCUGUGAGGGUGGCGCUUUUGGAUGGGCUCAUGUCCUAUCAGCNGUUGGCGGGGUAACGGCCUACCAAGGCUCCGAUCGGUAGCUGGUCUGAGAGGAUGAUCAGCCACACUGGGACUGAGACACGGCCCAGACUCCUACGGGAGGCAGCAGUGGGGAAUAUUGGACAAUGGGCGAAAGCCUGAUCCAGCAAUGCCGCGUGGGUGAAGAAGGUCUUCGGAUUGUAAAGCCCUUUCGACGGGGACGAUAAUGACGGUACCCGUAGAAGAAGCCCCGGCUAACUUCGUGCCAGCCGCCGCCGUAAU